GCCUUCGUGGUGCAGUGGUCAGCACGCUCGACGCGUAACCAAGAGGUCCGAGAACAAGAGGUGUUCAAUUCCCGGCGAAGGCA
rnacentral:tRNA from 1 species